rnacentral:tRNA from 1 species
GCACCCAUAGCUUAAUUGGAUAGAGCAUCUGUUUGCGGAACAGAAGGCUACAGGUUCGAGUCCUGUUGGGUGCA